rnacentral:rRNA from 1 species
GUCUAUGGCCAUGCCACCCUGAACAAGCCCGAUGUCUCAUCUCGGAAGCUUAGCAGAGUUGGGCCUGGUUAGUACUUGGAUGAGAAACCACCUAGAAACAGGUGCUGUAGGCA